rnacentral:lncRNA from 1 species
GGUUGACAUCAAAUUGUUGUUUGAUUUUAUCUUCUUCCUCUCAAGUUGUUGGGAGUUAGUUACAACUACUUCUUGGUUAUUGUUCUUCUUAAUUAGUUGAGGGAUCAAGAAAGGUUCUUGAUUUUUUCAAGAAUCAAGAAAGAAAGAUCAAAAGGGUUCAUAAUUUCAAGCCUAUCCAGGCUUGGUUCAAGCCUAUUUAGACUUUUGGUUCAGGCAAGUAGGAUUAAGAAGAGCCUAUCCAGAUCGAUCUUAUAGAUAUCCGUAGAGACAGGAUGCUUGUGCUACUAAUGCAGAAUCUGUUUGGCCCC